rnacentral:tRNA from 1 species
UCCUCGGUAGCUCAAUGGUGGAGCAAGAAGCUGUUAACUUCGAGGUUGUCAGUUCGAGUCUGACCCGAGGAGCCA